AGCGAACGCUGGCGGAAUGCUUUACACAUGCAAGUCGAACGGCAGCACGGACUUCGGUCUGGUGGCGAGUGGCGAACGGGUGAGUAAUACAUCGGAACGUGCCCAGUCGUGGGGGAUAACGUAGCGAAAGCUACGCUAAUACCGCAUACGAUCUAAGGAUGAAAGCGGGGGACCGUAAGGCCUCGCGCGAUUGGAGCGGCCGAUGGCAGAUUAGGUAGUUGGUGGGGUAAAGGCCUACCAAGCCGACGAUCUGUAGCUGGUCUGAGAGGACGACCAGCCACACUGGGACUGAGACACGGCCCAGACUCCUACGGGAGGCAGCAGUGGGGAAUUUUGGACAAUGGGCGCAAGCCUGAUCCAGCCAUUCCGCGUGCAGGAUGAAGGCCCUCGGGUUGUAAACUGCUUUUGUACGGAACGAAAAGGCUCUGGUUAAUACCUGGGGCUCAUGACGGUACCGUAAGAAUAAGCACCGGCUAACUACGUGCCAGCCGCCGCAGUAA
rnacentral:rRNA from 1 species